UACGUAGGGUGCAAGCGUUAAUCGGAAUUACUGGGCGUAAAGCGUGCGCAGGCGGUUCGCCAAGUCAGGUGUGAAAUCCCCGGGCUUAACCUGGGAAUUGCGCUUGAAACUAGCGGGCUUGAGUGUGGCAGAGGGGGGUGGAAUUCCACGUGUAGCAGUGAAAUGCGUAGAGAUGUGGAGGAACACCGAUGGCGAAGGCAGCCUCCUGGGCCAGCACUGACGCUCAUGCACGAAAGCGUGGGGAGCAAACAGG
rnacentral:rRNA from 1 species